rnacentral:lncRNA from 1 species
GCGGCGCUCAACUCGCUGCUCACCCCACAUAGUCACUAUCGGGUGCCCAUGUCCCCUGUAAUGAAUGAGGACUCAGUGAAAAAAAAAAAAAAACAACCGACCAAAACACAACCAAACCAUUUGAAGGCAGGCAGGCACUAGGUAAAAUCCUUUUAGGGGGCCGGAGGGAUGCUUGGGUGCCCUGGGAAUCCGACUGCCAAGACCUACCGCCUGGGCUGGUCUAGCACGUCCCGGAGACCCUGAACUGGCUCCUCGGAAAAGUUGCUGCCAGCCGAGCUAAACGUACAUUGCAGUACAGAAGUGACUUGGGAAAAUACAGAGCUCUCAAUAUUGUUUUUACGUUUUGGAUAUGUAUCUGUCCAAAGACUCCAAGAGCCUUUUAAAAUCUUGGAUAUUUUAUACCUGAACUGGAAUACUGGAGACCUGUAUUUAUGAUGUGUGAUUUGAAACUUAGCAUACUUUAUUUUGUGUCAGGGAUUUUCAAGUUUGUUCCUUUCCUGGCCUUUUCUUUCACAUAAAGCACAGUGCACUUCUCCAGUGGGGAAAGGUGGUUAGCAAAAAGGUAAAAAUAGAUCAGUUUACUGUUUAUUACAUCAUUUGUUGCUGCCAUUAUUGAAAGUACAUCUUAACAUCAUGCCCUGGUACUGGAAGGAUGAAAAUAGCAAUUUUCAUUUCAGCAGCAAAAGGAAAUAUUUCAAUAAUGCAAUAUUUCUCUAGGCAGUCACAGCUAGGUAGGCUGGAGAAACAAAGAAGACACUAAGUUUGCCUUUGUUUCUCACAGAGUUCCAUCCAGUUCUUUCCUGUCUAAUGUACUACUUUUUUCUACUUUUUUUUUUUUGUGCAUUUGAUAAACAAAUACUUUUUAUGACAACAAGGAAAAUGCAUAAUCUUUUCAGAAAGGUAUGCAGCCCUUUACAAUGCGGUUCAGCACUGUUUAAGAACUGGAAGUGUUACAAUAUACUGUGGUUCUUGGGUGCCCAAGGGAAAGAGAUUUUUAUUAUCGUUGGUCACAGGACUGCCAAAUGUUAUCUCGUAAAUCCUUGUCUUUCACAAUGGAUGAGGAAGACCAUCACUUGCACAAUUGCACAAGGUGAGAAUGAGAAGGAACCAGGACAGUGA